rnacentral:rRNA from 1 species
UACGGAGGGUGCAAGCGUUAUCCGGAUUCACUGGGUUUAAAGGGUGCGUAGGCGGGCAGGUAAGUCCGUGGUGAAAUCUCUGAGCUUAACUCAGAAACUGCCAUGGAUACUAUUUGUCUUGAAUGUUGUGGAGGUAAGCGGAAUAUGUCAUGUAGCGGUGAAAUGCUUAGAUAUGACAUAGAACACCAAUUGCGAAGGCAGCUUACUACACAAAUAUUGACGCUGGGGCACGAAAGCGUGGGGAUCAAACAGG